rnacentral:rRNA from 1 species
GAUGAACGCUGGCGGCGUGCCUAAUACAUGCAAGUCGAGCGAACAGAUGAGGAGCUUGCUCCUCUGACGUUAGCGGCGGACGGGUGAGUAACACGUGGAUAACCUACCUAUAAGACUGGGAUAACUUCGGGAAACCGGAGCUAAUACCGGAUAAUAUUUUGAACCGCAUGGUUCAAUAGUGAAAGACGGUUUUGCUGUCACUUAUAGAUGGAUCCGCGCUGCAUUAGCUAGUUGGUAAGGUAACGGCUUACCAAGGCAACGAUGCAUAGCCGACCUGAGAGGGUGAUCGGCCACACUGGAACUGAGACACGGUCCAGACUCCUACGGGAGGCAGCAGUAGGGAAUCUUCCGCAAUGGGCGAAAGCCUGACGGAGCAACGCCGCGUGAGUGAUGAAGGUCUUCGGAUCGUAAAACUCUGUUAUUAGGGAAGAACAUAUGUGUAAGUAACUGUGCACAUCUUGACGGUACCUAAUCAGAAAGCCACGGCUAACUACGUG